rnacentral:rRNA from 1 species
UAUGCUGAGCUGUGAUGGGGAAGCUCCUUAUGGAGCGAAGUCUUUGAUUCCCCGCUGCCAAGAAAAGCUUCUAGCGAGAUAAAAGGUGCCUGUACCGCAAACCGACACAGGUAGGCGAGGAGAGAAUCCUAAGGUGUGCGAGAGAACUCUGGUUAAGGAACUCGGCAAAAUGACCCCGUAACUUCGGGAGAAGGGGUGCUUUCUUAACGGAAAGCCGCAGUGAAUAGGCCCAAGCGACUGUUUAGCAAAAACACAGCUCUCUGCGAAGCCGUAAGGCGAAGUAUAGGGGGUGACACCUGCCCGGUGCUGGAAGGUUAAGGAGAGGGGUUAGCGUAAGCGAAGCUCUGAACUGAAGCCCCAGUAAACGGCGGCCGUAACUAUAACGGUCCUAAGGUAGCGAAAUUCCUUGUCGGGUAAGUUCCGACCCGCACGAAAGGUGUAACGAUUUGGGCACUGUCUCAACCAGAGACUCGGUGAAAUUAUAGUACCUGUGAAGAUGCAGGUUACCCGCGACAGGACGGAAAGACCCCGUGGAGCUUUACUGUAGCCUGAUAUUGAAUUUUGGUACAGUUUGUACAGGAUAGGCGGGAGCCAUUGAAACCGGAGCGCUAGCUUCGGUGGAGGCGCUGGUGGGAUACCGCCCUGACUGUAUUGAAAUUCUAACCUACGGGUCUUAUCGACCCGGGAGACAGUGUCAGGUGGGCAGUUUGACUGGGGCGGUCGCCUCCUAAAGUGUAACGGAGGCGCCCAAAGGUUCCCUCAGAAUGGUUGGAAAUCAUUCGUAGAGUGCAAAGGCAUAAGGGAGCUUGACUGCGAGACCUACAAGUCGAGCAGGGACGAAAGUCGGGCUUAGUGAUCCGGUGGUUCCGCAUGGAAGGGCCAUCGCUCAACGGAUAAAAGCUACCCCGGGGAUAACAGGCUUAUCUCCCCCAAGAGUCCACAUCGACGGGGAGGUUUGGCACCUCGAUGUCGGCUCAUCGCAUCCUGGGGCUGUAGUCGGUCCCAAGGGUUGGGCUGUUCGCCCAUUAAAGCGGUACGCGAGCUGGGUUCAGAACGUCGUGAGACAGUUCGGUCCCUAUCCGUCGUGGGCGUAGGAAAUUUGAGAGGAGCUGUCCUUAGUACGAGAGGACCGGGAUGGACGCACCGCUGGUGUACCAGUUGUUCUGCCAAGGGCAUAGCUGGGUAGCUAUGUGCGGAAGGGAUAAGUGCUGAAAGCAUCUAAGCAUGAAGCCCCCCUCAAGAUGAGAUUUCCCAUAGCGUAAGCUAGUAAGAUCCCUGAAAGAUGAUCAGGUUGAUAGGUUCGAGGUGGAAGCAUGGUGACAUGUGGAGCUGACGAAUACUAAUAGAUCGAGGACUUAACCAUAUAA